rnacentral:rRNA from 1 species
CCUACGGGAGGCAGCAGUGGGGAAUUUUGGACAAUGGGCGCAAGCCUGAUCCAGCAAUGCCGCGUGAGUGAAGAAGGCCUUCGGGUUGUAAAGCUCUUUUGUCAGGGAAGAAACGGUGGGGGCUAAUAUCUCCUACUAAUGACGGUACCUGAAGAAUAAGCACCGGCUAACUACGUGCCAGCAGCCGCGGUAAUACGUAGGGUGCAAGCGUUAAUCGGAAUUACUGGGCGUAAAGCGUGCGCAGGCGGUUUUGUAAGUCUGUCGUGAAAGCCCCGGGCUCAACCUGGGAAUUGCGAUGGAGACUGCAAGGCUUGAAUCUGGCAGAGGGGGGUAGAAUUCCACGUGUAGCAGUGAAAUGCGUAGAGAUGUGGAGGAACACCGAUGGCGAAGGCAGCCCCCUGGGUCAAGAUUGACGCUCAUGCACGAAAGCGUGGGGAGCAAACAGGAUUAGAUACCCUGGUAGUCCACGCCCUAAACGAUGUCUACUAGUUGUCGGGUUUUAAUUAACUUGGUAACGCAGCUAACGCGUGAAGUAGACCGCCUGGGGAAUACGGUCGCAAGNUUAAAACNAAAGAUGAGNGNGAGAGNGCGAGACGACGACGAGGAGGAGG